UUUUUUUUGGGGGGGGUUGUGAUGGGGACUGAAAUCCUCUGCGGGAAGAGAAUCUGGCAGAGGCUGGCGGAGACGCCCUUGGAUCGUGACAUGUGGCCCUCUGAUGCUGAUGCCUUGGCUUGGCUGGACCGGAUUGACCCCCUAUGGAGGCCUAAGCCAGGACACAACCAACCCAAACUGAUAUUCUGGUCUGGUCAGGGUUGGUACUUGAUAUUUAGGAAAACAAAUUAUUAUAUUUGAUUUUCUUUGCUUUAGAAGCAGAUACGUAGGAUUUCCCUUGCAAUUAGUUAGUUUUCAUUUUAGAUUAAUUCCAUCUUUAUUUGCUUUCCAAUUUUAUGUGAGAAUUCUUCUUUAAAUUGCUGUAAAACGAUUAUGGAGUUUCAGUUUGGAGUAAAAUAAUUGAAUGACUGAAUUAAUGGUUGUGACCGUGGCUGCUGUGAUGUUUGCUUAUCCCUUCUCCCCACUUUGGUCCUUCUCUUCAUUCAUCUUCUUCUUCUUCUUCUUCUUUGUUUUUCCCUGCUCUCUUUCUCUGUUUGUGGGCGAUAGCUGCAGCCCCAAAUAAGUGGGUCGAUCUCCCUCAUUCUUGAAGUACUUGGACAAGACCUUGAUUGAGGGUUCUCUACCUACUGGUGAUCAAAACCCUGGAGUAUUACUUUCAAAAUUUUGUUCUGUUCUGAGAAAUCAAACUCAGGUUCAUAUCUGGUUCUGAAACCCUCCACCAGUCCUGAUAUCAGAAAGGAAACUCUAUCCUUUCACUUCCCGUUUGGCUGAACUUGGCUGGAAUCACAAGAUCUGCGUGCUGUGAUUCUCCCUUCCAAGCCCAAAAUCGAUCCAUGCUGGUGUGAGAGCGCUCCAUCAAAACUAUCGAGGCUGCCUCCCCUUCUGGUUCUGACUCAGGGUUGAAGAAGAGUCGUGAGUUGCUUUAUUUUCUCUUGUACUUUGGUUACCAGUUAUACCCUUCUAUUUGUCCCUAAUUCUCUCAUAUCCCCUAUUCCUAUUUUACUUCCUAGUUUACCCCCAUCAAAUAAUCAUUAAUCCCCUUUAGGUCCCAUCUCCCAAGUAGCUCAUAAGUAAUCUGUUUAUUUACAAUACUGCCACUGCAACUUGAUUAUUGAGUUUUCUUAUUUGAGUGGGUCCAAAGCAAAUCGAACAGGGUUUUCUUAAACCCCGGUUCUGCAUUAACCUCGACAUGUGGAUGGCUAGAUGAGAGAUGGAGCAGGGAAACUUGAAUCUGGCCAAACGCGUUUACCAUUUCCCAUUCUUCUUCUUCUCCCUCCUUCCUCUCCUCUCUUCAAAUCCCCAAGACAUAACUAGGGUUAGGGUUUUUCCUUCUUUCUCUCUGUAGACAUCAGAACUCGAGUAAGCGAAAAGCCGUCUGCUCUGUCAUUGGGGAGGUCUCAGUGAACCACAUUGAAGACAACUCUGGUCUGGGGAGGUCUCGAAAAAUCCCUGCUUGGCAAAAUCCUUGCCUGCGUUUGAUUCCUGCUUUCCCUCAACUCUGGUCUGGAGUAGCUUUGUUUGACAUCACAGUGAAGAAACAGAAGAUUCCUCCCGCUCGCUGAAACCCUUUUGGUUAAACCCCUCUCCCACUAGCUGAAGGCUUGCUCUGCCCAUCAGAACUCAAGGUUUUAGAAGCAUGUUACAUCUCCGAAGUUGAAGUAGCAUAAACGAACUAAUGUUUACAGUAAGGAUUGUUCAAUCAGCAGAACAAUUCUAAGGGAACUCUCCCCCAAAUUAUGCACUACUUGUAUGCUUGCACAAAGAGGCUCCAUCACUUAGUGUAGUCCAGGUGGGACAGGCAAGAAGUGGUCCAUAAGGAUUAGUGUAGUCCUGGUGGAACAGGACAGAAGCAGUCCAUAAGGAUUCAAGAGAAUGAGAACCUUGAACCAUUUUCUUUGUAUCCCUCAUUCAAGCCAAACACAAGGCAAAACACUUACUGUUCAUCUGAGCUUCAAGUCUAUAAAUUCAUGCAAACCCAGUUGGCAUUGGGCCUUAAAUUAAAGUUGUGGCCAUUUUCCAUCUUCUUAAUACUCCAACAGACAUUAAACCAGGCUGUCCAGAACAAGCUAAUGCUCAAAAAGGAUGGAUCAGAUGCUGAAUAUCUUAUCCUGAAUAUGACAAGGAAGUAAGUGAUACAAGUACAUUUGCUUGCAUGACUGGGAGUUGUGACAGGAAGGUUCAUCUUCCCAUUGGAUUAGACAUUACUUCAGAUUCCUUCCUCAUGGAUAUGCAUGUAAAAGUUCCAAGAUAAGAAAGAGUUGCAGGGAACUUAAAAAACAGAUAUUUGUGGGGCUUCUUGAACUCCAAUCAUGAGUUUACUAUAGGCUUCAUAGUCCGCUUGUCAUUACAUAAUCCAACUAUUGAUGUUGUUCAGUUUAUUUUUAUGACUACAUACCAAUUGUAUUUGUUAACUUGAUUAUCUCUGCUUACCUUUAUUUGGCUGGAAUUUAGUAUCUUGAAAAUUAACAUUUUUAGAUUGUAGGUGAAUCUUUAGCUAAAAAAUGGAAGAGCACCUGGGAUUUACCCAGGGUAUGAUGGUUUGAAUCCAUCAAUAUUCUUGGAUAUGGUCUUACUUUGUGCUGAAUUUUUAAGUGAGUGUGUGUAUCCAGCUACUGACUUUAAUUUGGUCUUGAUAUGGUCUUGCUUGUGCUGAGUUUUAAAUUAUGUUGUAUGUCAUAACUUGGAAAUGGCCUCUCCUGAAUUCUGAUGAGAAAAUAGAGAAUCAUGCUUAGAUAAAUGAAUUUUAUUGAUAAUUGACAAGAUCUCAAAAGAGGUUCUUGAUGUCUUAUGGUUUGGUGUUCCUUUUCUUUCUGCCAGCUUCAGAUGCUGGAAGCACACUAUCAUUUAACAGGUCAUGUCCAUGUGAUUUUAGUUUUGGGUCAAUGGGUUAUGUUGGGCUUAUUGAGUUCAUGAUAUUGAGUUGUUCCAUAACUAGAAUUUUAACUUCAUUGGUGUCACUUGGACCUCUUACUGGGUUGUUAUUCUCCUUGGCCAUUUCUCAUCAGUUUGUGCAUACUGAGGCUGACAUCAGCUUGUGCGUAAUUAGAAUUUUAAGGUCAUUGUUGUCACUUGUGCACACCUCUUCAUCAUUCCCAGUGUUUUUUGUUGGUUGAGAUUGGUUUAAUGCAACUGAUCUGUAUAGAUGGCAGACCACAACAGCCUCAUAAUAGAUAAUCCAUGUCUAGAUUGACCACCAGAAUCACCCAGUUCUUGCACUGUACAGAACUUUUCCCAGUUUCAGAUGCUGGGCAUGCACACACUGAUACACAUCUUGCUCUUCCAAUAUGUUAUGCGAUUCUUUUUCUUUUAUUUAAUAUGCUAAUAAAAUGUGUGGAUGAUCACGGUCAAGGAUGUGGUGUAGUAAGUAGCCAAUCAUAUAACACCAAAGAGAGCAAAAUCUAUGAUUUUUUUAUCCAAAGAAAACCUCUUAAUAGUAUACCACUUCUAUGAAUGGCUCGUAAUGUUGCAUCUCUUUCUAGACCGGGACCUUUUAUCAUGACUUCUGCUCGUUGCAUACCAUGAUCCACUGUAUGAAUAGUAUUUCGUUUAAUAAUGGUAUUGUUGAAACUUGCUUGAACAUGGAUUACUCCUUUUUGUAUUCUUACAUGAACCAAUUCUUGGUAUAGGUUUUACCAUAUUUUAUCAUCUCAUAAAUAUGAGUCAAAGAUAAACGGAUAUAUCCAUUUCAUGUCAAAACAGAUCUUAUAUUUGUACAUCGGGUCUCAAAAUUCUAUUGAUCAUAUACCUUGGAUAUAUUAAGUGUAAAAGCUAUCCAGUAUCGUAGCUUUAUGUAUUUAAAGAAAAUAGACAAUCUCAUGAGCAAUUAUGACAUUAUCCGUAAUUUAAUGCCUUUUCACAUAAGCUGCUUGGCAAGUUGAUAUAAAACUAUCCAAUAAUACUUAAAAGACAGAUUUGCUAAUAGCUUAGCAAUAAAAUCUUCUACUCGAAUUGUCUUUAUCUUUUUCAGCAAAAAGAGAGUAUGGUAUGAAUAGUACCAAAUGGAAGAGUUUGCUAAUGGAAGAAGUUGUGAACAAAAAUACUUAGAGUCUUAUUAACAAGAUCCGUUGCGCAUAUGCUUAUUGAAAUCAACAGAUUGGAUAAAGCUCCUGUUUUUCAUUUCUUUUAGGUUCUUUGUUUGUCCCUAAAGCCACACAGAUUUAAGUCUUUAUAAUUGCAAAUUCAUUUAUAGGGAGGGACUUCUUGUAACAUACACUAAUGUAUUUGGUAUUUGAUCUCUUAUGUUACACCAUCCAUUAAUUACUUUGGAAACAGACCUUCAUACCUCCACCAAAGGACUUAAAUGAAGUUUUCCUUCCUAGUUUUCUUCUUCUUCUAGUAUAGAAAACAAUAAUGGGCUUGGUCUGCACUUUAAGUAUGAUAGAAUAAGGAUGGCACCUCAAUCAAUUACAUUGCUAACUUGUAACAUAUAAAAGGAUAUAACCACCAGGAUAAGGAUUGGGGAAACUAUAGCAUUCAAAUAUAAAAAUCUAUAGCAGGGUUGGUUUGAUGAAGUAACCCCACUAAGGUCUUCUUCAGUACCUAUCUAAUCAGCUGAAAAAUAUUUUUAUAGAAGUAGAGUUAGAAAUUUAAUUGACUACUUUAGAGUGCAUAUUUGUUCCUAAAAACUUUUUAUAUUUAGGGAAAGUAUAGAUGUGCUAGCAGGUUACAAUAGAAUCAGGAAUGCUAGAGGGUUAUUAACCCUUGGAUGAAAAGAAAGACUCCAACUUUCAGUCAACCACGGCUACGCCUUUUCUCUUCAUCUCUUUCUCUCUCCUUGCCCCUGCAACCGACCAACUGACCUUGCCACUGCUCAGAUCUCUUUCUCUCUCUUUCUUGUGAAGCGAUUUACUUUGUCGUCCUCUUCCCUUCCCUUUCUCUGCAACUCUAUUGACAAGUUCCCCUUUCCCUUUCCUUAACGAAGAACAACGGAGAAAAAAUGUUUUGGGUUAGAUUUCAACAUCCUUGAUCUUAUCAUAUCUAACAGAUUAAUUGUUUUUUGUUUCCAUAUUGGUAGAUAAGUUUCUAUUGGCAUUAUCCAUUAUAUCCUGGCUUUAGUUCUCUAUUUAAUAAGUUAUUUCUGUCUAGUAAGAAUAUUAAACUUUCUUCAACUCACCCAUCGAUCCUUCUAUGGUUGUUUUGGAAUUCUAUUUUCGAAUCACUUUCUAAGCUUGGGAUAUACUGUUGGAGAAGCCCUGCUCUUAUCUGUUUUAAUUUCAGUAAGUUACAGCCUUCCUCAUAGACUUGGUCCGCCACCUGCGAUGAGGUUGCAGCAAUGAAAUAAAAUCGGCCUUGCCCAUUUUUCAAGACGGACCCUCCAGAUUGAGAAUGUAGUACUGCAAUGAGGUUGCAACGAUGGCAAAGAGCAGGGGAUGGGGCGGGGAAGCGAGCUGUGGGGGGCGGGGUUGAGGUAGACGUAGGAAGCCGUAGGUGGAGAAGGAAAGAGGUAGGGAGCCGGAGUUGGAGUUGGAGUUGGAGCCGGAGCCAGAGCCGAAAGUGGAGGAGGGCAAGGGAGUUAGCGCCAGAGAUAAAGACAAAGAUGAAGAAGCGAAGGAGACAGGAGGAUGGGAGGAGGGAAAGAACUUGCAAGAGAGCGUCAUAGAUAUGUACACACUACACUUAAUCAAUGGCAUAGAUCUAAUUUAUCCAAUCUAAAAUUCAAAAAUCAGCUAAUAUUCCUAAUUCCAUUAUAAA